rnacentral:tRNA from 1 species
GAGGGUAUAGCUCAGUGGUAGAGUGCAUGCUUAGCAAGCAUGAGGUCCUAGAUACAAUCCCAGCACUUCCU